CCUACGGGGGACAGCAGUGAGGAAUAUUGGUCAAUGGGCGCGAGCCUGAACCAGCCAAGUAGCGUGAAGGAUGACUGCCCUACGGGUUGUAAACUUCUUUUAUAAAGGAAUAAAGUGAGGCACGUGUGCCUUUUUGUAUGUACUUUAUGAAUAAGGAUCGGCUAACUCCGUGCCAGCAGCCGCGGUAAUAAGGAGGAUCCGAGCGUUAUCCGGAUUUGUUUGGUUUAAAGGGAGCGUAGUUGGGUUGUUAAGUCAGUUGUGAAAGUUUGCGGCUCAACCGUAAAAUUGCAAUUGAUACUGGCAGCCUUGAGUACAGUUGAGGUAGGCGGAAUUCGUGGUGUAGCGGUGAAAUGCUUAGAUAUCACGAAGAACUCCGAUUGCGAAGGCAGCUUACUAAACUGCCACUGACAUUGAUGCUCGAAAGUGUGGGUAUCAAACAGGAUUAGAUACCCCGGUAGUC
rnacentral:rRNA from 1 species